UACGUAGGGUGCAAGCGUUGUCCGGAAUUAUUGGGCGUAAAGGGCUCGUAGGCGGUCCAUCGCGUCGGGAGUGAAAAGCUGGGGCUCAACCCCAGUCCUGCUUCCGAUACGGGUGGACUAGAGGUAUGCAGGGGAGAACGGAAUUCCUGGUGUAGCGGUGAAAUGCGCAGAUAUCAGGAGGAACACCGGUGGCGAAGGCGGUUCUCUGGGCCGAUACUGACGCUGAGGAGCGAAAGCGUGGGGAGCGAACAGG
rnacentral:rRNA from 1 species